UUAGAACAUUUUCUAUGCCUACAACAGGCGUAGAAAACGAUAAAUAAUAUGGCCCUGGCAGGGCCCCCCUUUCCCUGCCCACACCACGCCCCCCUUUUUUAGACCUGGCGUGAGCAGGGAAAAGUCAUAGAUUGCGUUGCAAAUAACCUUUGCUCCAGAUAUGCCUGAAAACUGGUGUAUAUUAGUUAGUGACCCCCUAUGUUUUUGUCUUAGGAUCUAAACCCCAUAGUGGAAAUUGUAGACAUGUUUUGUGAGAAUUGCAACCCCCCGUCUGGAUUAUAGUGUAAGAAAAUCUGAUACAAGAGAGUUCAUCUUAAAAAGGUGACUUGAAUAACUUGGAUCAUUACUUUCAAGUCAAAUUCAACUACAAGCAGAGGUCUCAACCAAACACAAGCUGAAAAUCAGAGGAGUAAUACUUGGAACUGGUACAGAAGCCACGAUGGAGCACCUUGAUUUUGGUCGGUCAGAUUGCAGUGUGCACUGUGUAUGUAUUACUUGGUGACCAGGGGAAGGAAGAGGAGCUACACCUGUUCUACCUGGGGCGAUUUUCCGUUCUUGCAUUUUCAUUUUUUACUCCUUGCCUGCUUGGAACCAUAACUUUUGCAAAGAAGGGGACAACCAUCUUCAUUGCUGCCACUAUGAUGAGACUGAAGCCAGAGUGUCAUCCCAAGAGUUGGGUACAAAAGAAGCCAGAGGGAGAGGGAAUUGUCUCUUAAAGAACUGUGUUGUACUUGCCUGUUAUCCAACGAGUGCCAUAAACCUGUUGGCUCUGACUAAGCAUGUGUCAUCACUGAAAGACUAUAACUUCUAAGUCUAUUGCCUGUCAAAAACUGUUGCAACCAUUAAGCUUGUUGAUCCAUGUGAGAUAUGUAAAAACUGCUUUGUUUAAGUUACAUCUGUGUCUGCCUGAUUAGUUCCUCCAUCUUAUGCCUCAUUCACACGUCAGUGUUGUGGUCAGUGAUUUUCAUCAAUGAUUGUGAGCUAAAGCCAGGACUGGAGGCUACACACAGAUCCGGUAUAAAGAAAAGAUCUGCACCUGUUCUGUGUUUACAGCCGCACCUGGUUUUUGCCCCAAAUCACUGCUGGAAAUCACUGAUUAAAACACUGACGUAUGAAUGAGCUAUUAUGGUGGGGAACUGAAUAUAUCACUAGUAGGGCCAGAAAUAUUCUGUCUGUAAGGUCUGACUCCCCUUUACAUGCUAUGCACAAAGAAUGUAUAGUGCCAUGAGACCGACUGACAUUGAUGUACAGCUUACUCUUUUUAUGCUCAGUCAGCGAAUAGUGAUUGUGGAGGCUAUGUGCGAAGCAGAUCGAUUAAGAAAACACAAUAGACCUUUGCCAACUAGUACCCAGGAAAAAAACACACCAGCUAAACGUUGUAUUCAGAGUCUGGGUCGGAGAUGGCAUCAA